CACACCCCUACCUAUGGGUAGGGUGGCAAACCCAAAUCCCUUUUUUACCUCUCCAAACUUUUGGUGCCCACACCGCCCCGUCAACCUUUCUAGUGUCCCCGCCUUUUGCCGCGCAUUCAUCACCUGCUUCCGCAACGACCUUUGCUCUCAACGCCACAAUGCCUCCCUACCCCCUCCUCCUCCUCGCAAAGCGCUGACUCCCGCUACCUCACCGGCGAGGAGUGCGGCGCCCGCCACCGUCCCGCUUUCAAGGACAAGUUUCAACAACUCAUCAGCGAAGAGCAGAUUUUGAUGAGGAAGAAAAUGCCACAGAUGUGUUGAAGGCCACUUGUGCUGUAGUAAAAUCAGUCAUUUGGUGGAUAUGGAAAUGCCUUUGUCUUUGUUUGUAAAGGAGGUUAUAACACUACCUGGAUUGCUCUGGUUACAACCAGAACCAGGACUUUGCUCUGCUACCAUGUCCACCAGUAAGUGUUCCUUUUAUGUUCCUCAGUUUUUUCCUUCCCCUGUUUCCUCUUCCUUUCCUUUUCUAUGUAUUCUUUGAUCUUCCUUAUAUUUUAUAUAUUUUGACAUAUAUAUGUAAAGGAAAUGACUAAUGCACGACGUGUGUGUAUAUACAAACAUUACAUCUUGUGUUUUAUUUUUUUUGUUUGAUAAGAAGAAAAAGGUGAAAAACUUAGACGCUAGGGUCAGUGUGUUUUUCUACUGAUACAUGUAUCAUUCAUUAAUCAUCUGUUGUGUGAAUGAGAAGCUGAGAAUGUUUGGAGUUCCAUUUUGGCUGGUAUCAUUAUUCCACUUCUAUAAGGCUUCAAACUUCGAUAGAUGCGAAACAAAAGUGUAAUACUUUAUAGUGGUUCUCUCUUUUCCUGGUUGUCUUUCUUUAAAUCUUGCUUUGUGAUCAACAAAAGCUUUAAUAUUUUCCCUCAACGGUAUAAUUCACUCUUGCUGCUGCCAUGUUUCUGUUGCCUUUUUCACUCAUUCUCUAUCAGUUUGUAAUAUUGUUUUGUACUUUAGUUUCUGUGAAAUUUGGUUAACUUGAGCAUGAAUUUUGUAACUCUAUUUUGGGUUGUUUGUCUAUUUUGCAAACACCUUUCCAACUUACUGUAACUUUUAUUUCCUGGAGAGGAUUUUAGUUUUCUUUUUUCUACUCAUGGGGCUUAACUUAAGUGGUGCUUCAUGUAAUGUUUGUCUUUAAGAUGUAUGUAUGUUUGUAAUAGCUGGAUUUAUGUUGAAAGUAGGUAUAACUAUUAGCAGAUUUAUGUUAGUCUGUAAUUUUGGGUUUUAUAAUAUUUAAAUUUCAUGGGGCCAAGUUGUGAUCAUACAGUUUUUGGCUAUUCAUGUAUAUGUAUGUUUGUAGAGAGCUCGAUUAUGUUGUCUCUAACUAUUUGUGUUGUCUGUAGCUCGAUUUAUGUAUGUAUGUUUGUAGAGAGCUCGUUUUCAAGUUGUACAUGUAGUUUGUGGCGGUUUUAAACAUCCACGAAUUGUUUUAAAACCGCUAGUAAAUAGAGCCGGGUCAGGCUGAUGUCGAUAAAAUAGCAUUGGCCUAUACGACUGGCGUUAAAAAAAUGCAUUGGCGUUGGUCUUCGUACAAAGUAAAAAUAGUGUCAAAUAAGCAUGACUAUUGACGCUAAACUUUAGCAUUGGUUUAACGUCACCCCAACACUAAGUCAACUCUAAAUGAUGGUUAGUGUUGACUUUUACUUCACUAGUUUCGGGGCCGUACUCUAAGAACUAAUUGUAGUGAUUUUUA